CCAAAUCAAGAAACAACUAGAAAGGAAAUGAACUAAAAAGGAAACAAAAAGGGAUCUAAAUAUUCUGACCAUCUUCUUCAGCAACGAACACCACCGGCGGGCUGCAUCAACAAGCUGAUUUCAGUAAAAUUCUCAAGAGUUUGAGGGACUUCCAUACUGGGCAUUCACAGGUCUCACAAAUUCCAUAGAGUCGACUCAGUGAAGACUUCUUCAACACAAAAAAGGACACGAACUCAACAAAGGAUAUACAACCUUCAAAAAACAUAAAAUGGUUUCAAGAUCAAAACCAUGGUUCUUCAAACUCUGCAGACUGAGCUCAAUGAGCUAAUAACACUGCAAGAGCUCUUGGAUCCAAGUGUAGGACUCGAUGAUCACCCUACACACUCUCGUGGCUAGAUAGAAGACUUGUUCACUUGAUUUGAGACAUGUUUAAGAGAUCGUCAAUAGAAGCACCAUUGAAGAUCUAUACACACCCAGCGUAUUGGUGAGUCCUUCCCCACUUUCGGAGGACACCGCUUAUGUAAUCUUGCAUCGAGUUAGCCCUUUCUAUUUUUAUUUGAGGUAGCCAUGAACAUGUCAUUGGCACCAAUUAUAUAGUAGUGAUAGAGGCUUCAUAGACUAGAUAGUGAAGGGUCGAUUGAGUAUUUCGUUCCUUAAAUUAUUCUUGUCAAACUAUUUUUUUAUGACAAAUAUUUUAGUUGA